ensembl:lncRNA
GUUUAAUGACGCAUUGUCAUGAGAGAGGAGUGACAGAUGACUGUUGAUGUUUGAAGUGCACAGAGCAGAGGCUGAUUGGCUCACUGAAGGAGUUCAUGAAAUGAUUGGACCAGACUGAUGACAACAGAAAUGAGUUUUAUAGCGCGGGAAAGCAGAAGAGAUGCAAACAAUAGACCAGUCGCCCAGACAUGAAUACAGCAGACUGAACACUGGAGCAUCCUUCAUGAAGUGAGGACAGAAAGAAAACCUCACAUCAUUCCUUCACCUCCAGAACAGGGAAGUAGAAGUUUCUGUAAUCAAUAAAGGGGAAAUCUGCUGUUGCUGUUAAAGGAACUUCAGUCAUAUCAGCGCUAUAACAGCAGCUACUCAGAGACUAAAACCGG